rnacentral:lncRNA from 1 species
ACUGUGUUAGCCAGGCUGGUCUGGAACUCCUGAGCUCAAGCAAUCUGUCUGCCUUGGCCUCCCAAAGUGCUGGGAUUACAGGCAUGAGCCACUAUGCCCACCUAUCCUUCCCCUUUCUAGCACAAGUAAUUGUUUACCCUGGGCACGUGGACAAGGUCUGAUACAUUGUCUUUGGAUGAACAGGCUUCAUAUCUUCCUUACCUUGGGGAACUUGCACAAGGCCAACACUUAUACCAGCAAGAACUCAGACAAGAAAGAGAAACGGACCCCAAAGGAGUCAGGUUAGGUUUCAGUCCUGCCCGGCUCGGCAGCAGGUGAAAGAUUGGACACACGCACCGGCACUGGACGUGGUGUCUGAAGGUGGUGAUGUUGAUGUUCAUGUUCCCAGAAGAGGAGGCCUUCCUUUUGUGUUCCUGUUGAAAGGUCUCCUCAUUGUAUACUUCACGCUUAACAUCAUAUGCGAAUGAGUUUCGCCUGGACUUAGAGCUGAAGCCAGAGAUGGCGCUCCUCUCUAGUUGUGCCAUUCCUGGAUGAGUGGAAAGAGAGCAAAUAAAAGAGCAUUUUCAGU